rnacentral:rRNA from 1 species
UAUACCUACGGGGGGCAGCAGUGGGGAAUAUUGCACAAUGGGGGGAACCCUGAUGCAGCGACGCCGCGUGGGUGAAGGAGUAUUUCGGUAUGUAAAGCCCUAUCAGCAGGGAAGAACAAUGACGGUACCUGACUAAGAAACCCCGGCUAACUACGUGCCAGCAGCCGCGGUAAUACGUAGGGGGCAAGCGUUAUCCGGAUUUACUGGGUGUAAAGGGAGCGUAGACGGCAAUGCAAGCCAGAUGUGAAAGCCCGGGGCUCAACCCCGGGACUGCAUUUGGAACUGUGUAGCUGGAGUGUCGGUGG